CGUUUAAGUCCAGUUCCAAUCUGGAUAUAAAAGUCAAGUUCAAUCGUCGAAAGUGAGAUCUCUUUUAGUCCGGUCUUCUUUUCUCUUUUGAGUCAGGUUCUUAAGACAGGAAAUCGGGUUUUCUGAAUAUCUCUCUUCCGGCCUAUGUUGUAAGUUAGUUAGUUAGAGAUCGAAACUGGACCUGAGAGAGACUAGACUUCUAGUAAGAGUAGGUGCGCCUUAAGUUGAGGAGAGCUGUUCAGCUAUGUUGUAAGUUAGUUAGUUAGAGAUAGAAACUGGACCCCUUUGAGCCAGAAAGCGUACCGGCUGUUUGAGUCGAGAAACGGCGGCAGCGGCGCGAGGAGUUAACGACCGGACGUGCUGCAACCUAGGGAUCACCAGGCAGCCCUUUCGCUCUAUAGGGAUCGGGGGGGCAUAGCACAAUUCUUCUUGGAGGAGGGUUGUUUGCCCGGGUGACUGAUCCUGCCAUAAUGUACUUCUACCUAUUAUAGCACCGGCAACCGAAGUCGAGCAUACAUACGACGAUCUUCAUGCGUGAAUAGCCGGGAGGAAAGAAAGGGCGGUAGAUGAUAAUGAGAAAGGGCGCCGCGUCUGGACGGGCGGAAUGGAUGAGCGAAAGGUGUCAUGCCAUGAUCU
rnacentral:lncRNA from 1 species